rnacentral:rRNA from 1 species
GACAGAGGGGGCAAGCGUUGCUCGGAAUUACUGGGCGUAAAGGGCGCGUAGGCGGGAUGGCAAGUCGGUCGUGAAAUCCUUCGGCUCAACCGAAGAACGUCGAUCGAUACUGCUGUUCUUGAGGGUUGCAGAGGAGACUGGAAUUCCCGGUGUAGCGGUGAAAUGUGUAGAGAUCGGGAGGAACACCGGUGGCGAAGGUGGGUCUCUGGGCAAUUCCUGACGCUGAGGCGCGAAAGCGUGGGGAGCAAACGGG